AUUGAACGCUAACGGUAUGCUUAACACAUGCAAGUCGAACGGCAGCACAGCAGUAGCAAUACUGUGGGUGGCGAGUGGCGGACGGGUGAGUAAUGUAUAGGAAUCUGCCUUGUAGUGGGGGAUAACCUGGGGAAACUCGGGCUAAUACCGCAUAAUCUCUACGGAGCAAAGCGGGGGACCGAAAGGCCUUGCGCUAUAAGAUGAGCCUAUAUUGGAUUAGCUAGUUGGUGGGGUAAAGGCCUACCAAGGCGACGAUCCAUAGCUGGUCUGAGAGGAUGAUCAGCCACACUGGGACUGAGACACGGCCCAGACUCCUACGGGAGGCAGCAGUGGGGAAUAUUGGACAAUGGGGGAAACCCUGAUCCAGCAAUACCGUGUGUGUGAAGAAGGCCUUAGGGUUGUAAAGCACUUUUAGUGGGAAAGAAAGCUUGAAACUAAUACU
rnacentral:rRNA from 1 species